CUUGAUCAAUUAUAAGAGGUCAAGCCUGCCCAGUGACAUUGUUCAACGGCCGCGGUAUCCUAACCGUGCGAAGGUAGCGUAAUCACUUGUCCUUUAAAUAAGGACUAGUAUGAACGGCUUCACGAAGGCUAUACUGUCUCCUUAGUCUAAUCAAUUAAACUAAUCUCCCCGUGAAGAAGCGGGGAUUCAUUUAUAAGACGAGAAGACCCUAUGGAGCUUUAAACAUCUAAGACACUUGAUUACACCUACUAAACUUCAUGCAACCUAUCAUUUUUGUCUUAAGUUUUAGGUUGGGGUGACCACGGAGAAAAAUUGAACCUCCACGUAGAAAGAAAAUUCUUUUCUAAGCAAAAAGCCACAUCUUAACGCAUCAAUAUAUUGACUUAAAUUGACCCAAUUUCUUGCUCAACGAAC
rnacentral:rRNA from 1 species